AUGGCGCUCACAGCGCGGAGGAGACGCGCGGCGCACGCCGCCAGGAACUCUUUAAAUGUGUUGCUCAUCAUGUGUUUGCUUCUGAAGACUUGCGAGUUAAAAUCAGCGAAUACGUCUAAACCAAAUAUUCUGCUGAUAAUGGCGGACGAUCUGGGCAUUGGGGAUCUCGGUUGCUAUGGAAACAACACACUAAGGACACCGAACAUCGACCGGCUGGCGGAGGAAGGCGUGAGGCUCACCCAGCACCUGGCGGCCGCCCCCCUGUGCACCCCAAGCAGGGCCGCCUUCCUCACGGGGAGACACGCCUUCAGAUCAGGCAUGGACGCCACGGAUGGCUACCGGGCCCUGCAGUGGAACGCGGGUUCGGGGGGACUCCCGCAGAAUGAAACCACGUUUGCGAGGAUCCUUCAGCGGCAGGGGUACACCACGGGCCUCAUCGGAAAAUGGCAUCAGGGUAUAAACUGUGCCUCGCGCAACGACCACUGCCAUCACCCUCUGCACCACGGCUUUGACUAUUUCUACGGCAUGCCCUUCACGCUGGUCAACGACUGCCACCCAGACAGGCCCCCGGCGCUGGAUGCGGGCUUGAGGGCCAAGCUGUGGCUUUCCACCCAGAUCAUGGCCCUGGGCGUGCUGACCGUCGUGGCCGGCAAAGCCUGCAGGCUGAUCUCCGUUUCCUGGAGACUAGUCUUGAGUGUGGCCACCCUGGUCCUGCUCUUUUUCACGUCCUGGUACGCCAGCUUUGGCUUCGUCCGCCGCUGGAACUGCAUCCUGAUGAGAAACCAUGAAGUCACUGAGCAGCCCAUGGCUUUGGAAAGAGCUGCGAGCCUCGUGCUCAAGGAGGCUGUCUCCUUUCUUGCAAGAAAUAAGCACGGUCCUUUCCUGCUCUUUGUGUCUCUGCUGCAUGUCCAUGUCCCCCUGGUGACCACAGAAAGGUUCCUUGGGAAAAGUCAGCACGGCUUGUACGGCGACAACGUGGAGGAGAUGGACUGGCUCGUGGGGGAGAUUCUGAACGCCGUUGAAACGCACGGCCUGAAAAACACGACUUUCACGUACUUCACCUCUGAUCAUGGGGGACACUUGGAGGCGAGAGACGGACACGUCCAACUGGGCGGGUGGAAUGGAAUUUACAGAGGCGGCAAAGGCAUGGCCGGCUGGGAAGGCGGGAUCCGGGUCCCAGGGAUAUUCCGGUGGCCUGGGGUCCUGCCGGCCGGCCGCGUGAUCCAUGAGCCCACCAGCCUGAUGGACGUCUUCCCCACUGUGGUCCAGCUGGCAGGCGGCCAGGUGCCCCAGGACAGGGUCAUUGACGGCCGGAGCCUGCUGCCCCUGCUGAGGGGAGAUGCUGAGCACUCGGCACACGAGUUCCUGUUUCAUUACUGCGGGCAGUAUCUCCACGCCGCCCGCUGGCACGACAAGGACAGCGGAAGGCUCUGGAAGGUCCAUUACACCACGCCCCGCUUCCACCCCGAGGGCGCAGGGGCCUGCCACAGCCGCAGCGUGUGCCCCUGCUCGGGAGCCGGCGUGACCCACCACGACCCUCCCCUGCUCUUCGACCUUUCCGAGGACCCGUCCGAGGCCCGGCCCCUGUCGCCCGACGCCGGGCCCCUGUACCACGAGGCGGUGGCCCGCGUGGGCCGGGCGGUCCGGGAGCACCGCCGGUCGCUGCGCCCGGCGCCUGAGCAGCUGUCCUUCUGGAACGUGGUCUGGAAGCCGUGGCUGCAGCCCUGCUGCGGGCCGUUCCCAUUCUGCGCAUGCUCCCGGGACGCGGACCCCAGGGAGACCUGACCUCGCCGCUCCCCAAGUUACAGCAAGGGGUGGGCGAGCAGGCAGGGAGAACGGGACCCUUGUGUGCUGUCGGGAAUGGAGAGCUGCAGCGGCCGCUGGGGGCAACGGGGUGGACGGUCCUCCAGCCACCAAAAAAUGGAACUACCCUAGGAUGCAGCUAGGCCAGCCCUGCGUGUGUGUCUGUCACUCAGCCAUGUCUGAAGGAGUGUUUCGGGCCUGGAAAAGAAAACAACAGUUUCAAAGGUCCUUGCUGAAUCAUCUAACUUCGGAGAAAACAGAACUUUAGGUCCCACCCUGAUGCUCCAGGCCGGUUGCAUCUAUCUGGGACUUAUCACCCCUGUCCAGAAAUCUUCCACCCCCUACACCUGCCCAGAAGACUUAUCACCUCCUGUCCGGAAACCUUGCACCCCCUACACCUGCCCAGAAGACUUAUCACCCCCUGCCCAACUACAAAUGCCAUCUCAACUAAAGAAUACCCAAAACAUCCCCCCUGAUUAACGUUUCCUUAUCGCUUCCAUAAACCUCCCUAUAAAUACGGAGCCUCCCUGAUCCCUCUCUGUGCUCAGCCUGAUCUUAAGGCCAACCGUCGCCCCUCCUUGCCUGAAUAAAGGUAACCUACUUCUAUUGAGAUCGUCUUUC
rnacentral:lncRNA from 1 species